rnacentral:rRNA from 1 species
UACGUAGGGGGCGAGCGUUGUCCGGAUUCAUUGGGCGUAAAGAGCUCGUAGGCGGCUUGGCAAGUCGGGUGUGAAACCUCCAGGCUCAACCUGGAGACGCCACCCGAUACUGCCAUGGCUAGAGUCCGGUAGGGGACCACGGAAUUCCUGGUGUAGCGGUGAAAUGCGCAGAUAUCAGGAAGAACACCCGUGGCGAAGGCGGCUCUCUGGGACGGUACUGACGCUGAGACGCGAAAGCGUGGGGAGCGAACAGG